rnacentral:rRNA from 1 species
UACGGAGGGUGCGAGCGUUGUCCGGAUUUACUGGGCGUAAAGAGCGCGCAGGCGGUCGGAUCAGUCGAAUGUGAAAGCCCCCGGCUCAACUGGGGAGGGUCAUUCGAUACUGUCCGACUCGAAGGCAGGAGAGGGAAGCGGAAUUCCCGGUGUAGUGGUGAAAUGCGUAGAUAUCGGGAGGAACACCAGUGGCGAAGGCGGCUUUCUGGCCUGUUCUUGACGCUGAGGCGCGAAAGCUAGGGGAGCGAACGGG